AAAUAACAUCUAUAACAAUUAGUUUUCCAUAGAUCAUUUCUUCUUUUUUUCAUAAUUUUGCGUUCCCUUACUUUCUGGCUCUGAACUUUGCUUCUACAAUGCCAAGGGAUUCCAGCCACCACAUGCAUACAGCCAAGACAUUUUAGUGUGAGUUAGAUACUCAGGCAUACACAACCUGUAACCCACAUGCUACGUGUAUCCCAACUCAACUUGCACCCCCUACAGCUGUAUCUAUCAUGGCAGCAGCUCUACCCUGAUGAGUGGCCAGGCCUAGCCCGGAGUCACAGCAAGGUUUGCAGAGCAGCACUGACAAAUAAAGCAACAGAACUGAGAAAAGGCUGUCACCUUAAGGAAAUAUUUUAAACUAAGUCACAUAGCAAAAGAAUGUCAUGACAGUGCUUUCUAAUGGGAUAUAAGCGCCAUAGCAGGUAACCAUACAAGACCAUAUGACCAUACCUAACAGGUAACCAUACAUAACCUACAAGAACCAUAGCAGCAGGUAAUGAAGAAAAAUUAGCUCACCCCUUCCAGAAACUAGUAACAACUCAAAAGAAGAGCAAACUCAGAGAGAUACUGCUCCCUCUGCUGCUAACACUUAAAUAAAAGCACCUUUUCCAAUCAUUGCUUGCACCUGAGCUCCCUGGGAUAGCAUUGACCUCUCAACUAAUGUUCAAUCAUUGGUUCAGGCUGUGAAGGGAUGGAGUGCAGCAGAGUUGCUAGGUCACAGCCUGAACCAAAGAUUGAGUAGGUCAGGGGUAAACUCCUGCUGUUUUGGAAACAUGAAGUACAACGUGUAUCGUGAUGCCGGUACAGUACCUAUCAAUGAUGUGAUUGACAGGUGAUUGUUGCAAGGUGAUUGUUGACAGUCUUCUUAUGGUUGUGUUGGAACAGUACUUGAUGUUGCUUCUGGAGGCUUAUCUUCUUCAGUUCAGGUUUGGGUUCACUGGUUCCCAGAACUUCAGCACUCCACCACCUGGUGUCAUGACAUACCCUCACAGACACUGAAGCACGCUGAAGUGUUGAUGCUCCUACCAGUGGUCCUGUGGACUUCACAGCCUCAAGGGGAGUAGUACAGAUGUUUACAAGUGAAUUCCACCAGAGUGGGACUCAUGGUGGCUAUACAAGCCAGUAAAAAAGGCGUUGCAGUUUCUUGUCACAGGCUACAGCUUUCUAAUAUGCCAGCAACACAUGGCUCUGAGCUUGCUUAGGCCUGCCUGGAGACUUAUUUGAGCUUCUUUAGCUGUUGACAGCAAUUGUCUAAUCACCAAGCCAAUAGUACUUGCUUUUUCUUUACCUGGCUUGAAACAAGCUCAUGCUCUGACACCUAAUGUAUAAUUGCAGCUAUUGGAUAUUGUCCUGCUAUGUGUACCUGCCGAGGUGCAUUUAAGAA